GAGGAUUCCUGGUCUCGGCCCUGCUGCGCUGAGGGCCCGAAAAUCACUUUGUUUUACAAAGGCAAGUUUUAAUCAGAUAUAAGGGAACCUUUUCUCUUAGAUGACCUAUGACAGCAAUUUGCCUGGAAACUUAAACUUUUGAACCUUCCAGCCCUGCAUCAAUGCCUGGACAUACACCAGAUCCCCAGAUAGCCUUCUGAUUACCUCCUGGAGGAUUCCCAUAUCCAGACCACCUGGCACCCAUCACCCAGACCAACUGAUCUAGCUGAUACCCGACCUGGCCAAACCUACGGCUAAGAAUGCAGGACUGAUUGUUCUCAAGAAUAUACUUUUUACUAUGAGAAUUCUUAACUUUUUUGUCUUCUUUGAAACACUUCUGGAUUUUUGCCUUCCUGUGUUCCCAUUUGCAAACUCUAAGACUCUUGAA